ACGUGUUUUUACUUGUAAGGUUAACUUUCUGUCUCUGUCUGUUUCAGCAGGAGGAUGGAAACUGACGACUGCUGUGACAGUUCCUGCUAUUUUCCUCAUUAUCAUACUCAUCUUUGUCGUCAUAUGGAUCAUAAAGAAGAGGGCCUGCAAGCAACCGUCUGAGCCCGGAGACAGACCAGAGAACAGUGAACAGAUACAACCAGCAGAGGAGCAGGAUGAGCUUCAAUAUGCCACUGUCGACUUUUCCAGGAACCAGGCUGAUCCUCUCUACUCCAACAUCCAACCAGUUAAACCCCAAAGACACAAGAAAAAGAAGAAGAAGAAGGAGAACAAGAGGAGAUGGUUGAGUACUCUGUGGUUAACUUUAACAGCGGCGGUGCAGCCCAGAGCACCAGUGGUCAGCAAGCUGCAGAUCCAGCUGCAUUGUACAGUACAGUCAACAAACAUGGACAAAGAAACCUCUAGUUUACUCUCAUCCAAUGAAAUCCUUACAGGAAACCACUUUGAGAAUGAAUCCUCGGGACAGACUCCUUCAAGAACGCAGCUAGACCUGCAUUUAAUAAAUGACUUCAAACAGAUAAAUGAUGUUAGUAUUAAGCUUUGUGAAUGACUUACUGUGGUCCACCUGUAAAGUGAUUAUGAAUUAUUUUACAGGAUUAAUAAUGAGUUUUACAUUAACAAGACUCAGGUUUAAACAAAUCAAACAAGUAUUACUAGUUAAAAAGUAUUUACCUUUAUUGUUAAUUGUUGUUGUCAAGAAUCUUAUUUUGUAUUCAUCUGUUUCUUAUUGUUUUGUGGGGGAAGCUUUUAUUUUGAAGGCUGAUUUGCUUCUUACUUGCUUUAAGCCGGAUAUUAAAAGACUCAGGUAGGUAGACAGUCA